GAUCCUGGCUCAGAAUCAACGCUGGCGGCGUGCCUAACACAUGCAAGUCGUACGCGAAAGGGGAGCAAUCCCUGAGUAGAGUGGCAAACGGGUGAGUAACACGUGGGUGACCUGCCUCAGAGUGGGGGAUAACGUCCCGAAAGGGACGCUAAUACCGCAUAACAUCCUGCCUUUGGAAAGGCGGAGAUCAAAGCCGGGGAUCGCAAGACCUGGCGCUUGGAGAGGGGCCCGCGUCUGAUUAGCUAGUUGGUAGGGUAAUGGCCUACCAAGGCGACGAUCAGUAUCCGGCCUGAGAGGGCGGACGGACACACUGGGACUGAGACACGGCCCAGACUCCUACGGGAGGCAGCAGUGGGGAAUUGUUCGCAAUGGGCGCAAGCCUGACGACGCAACGCCGCGUGGAGGAUGAAGAUCUUCGGGUCGUAAACUCCUGUCGAGCGGGAAGAACACUUUCCGGGCGAAUAUCCUGGAAGGCUGACGGUACCGCUAAAGGAAGCCCCGGCUAACUCCGUGCCAGCAGCCGCGGUAAUACGGGGGGGGCAAGCGUUGUUCGGAAUUACUGGGCGUAAAGGGCUCGUAGGCGGCCAACUAAGUCAGACGUGAAAUCCCCAGGCUCAACCUGGGAACUGCGUCUGAUACUGGAUGGCUUGAAUCCGGGAGAGGGAUGCAGAAUUCCAGGUGUAGCGGUGA
rnacentral:rRNA from 1 species